AAGAAAAAAAAUAAAAAAAUAAAAUUAAUAUCAAAAACCAAUUAAGAGAUGCAAUUACAAUUAUUAUUGUUAAUAAAUGCCAAUAUAAAGGCAGAUUUAAGUUUAAAGGAAACACAUGAGGGAAAAGCACAGCUUGCUCCUAUGAUUUGGGGGCAUAUGCAUGUCUAUGUGCCUAUGUAUUUCCUUGAUAUAAGAUCAGCUCAACUCAACUCAACUAAG
rnacentral:misc_RNA from 1 species